rnacentral:rRNA from 1 species
UCUACCUCUAGGUGGAACAUAGCCAUCCGAAAGGAUGGGUAAUUUUCCAUGGUUCUCGUAAGAGUAAAGGACUUAACGGUCCGCCAAGAGAUGAGCCUGCGUCCUAUCAGCUUGUUGGUGGGGUAAAAGCCUACCAAGGCAAUGACGGGUAGCUGGACUGAGAGGUCGAUCAGCCACAACUGCACUGAAACACGGGCAGUACAUCUACGGAUGGCAGCAACUAGGAAUAGUUCGCAAUGGACGAAAGUCUGACGACGCGACGCCGCGUGAAGGAUGAAGGCCUAUGGGUCGUAAACUUCUUUUGAUAAGCCGUUCACAGCUUAUAGAAUAAGCCUCUACUAACUACGUGCCAGAAGUCUCGGUAAUACGUAGGAGGCAAGCAUUAUCCGGAUUCAUUGGGCGUAAAGUGUGCGUAGGCGGUUUGGUAAGUCUAUUUUUAAAUUCCGAAGCUCAACUUCGGGCCUGGAAUAGAUACUACUAAACUUGAGGAUUGUUAGGGGUGCUAGAACAGUUAGUGUAGCAGUGAAAUGCGUUGAUAUUAACUGGAAUACCAAAGGCGAAGGCAGGCACCUGGAAUUUUCCUGACGCUGAGGCACGACAGCUAGGGUAGCGAAACAGAUUAGAGACCUGUGUAGUCCUAGCCGUAAACGAUGUCCGCUAGCUGUCUCU